rnacentral:tRNA from 1 species
GGCGGUGUGGCUCAGUGGUAGAGUUCUGAUCUAGUGAGUAAGAGGCCCUGGGUUCCAUCCCCAGUGCUGUGA